rnacentral:rRNA from 1 species
UCCUACGGGAGGCAGCAGUGGGGAAUAUUGCACAAUGGGCGAAAGCCUGAUGCAGCAACGCCGCGUGAGUGAUGAAGGCCUUCGGGUCGUAAAACCCUGUCCUCAAGGAAGAUAAUGACGGUACUUGAGGAGGAAGCCCCGGCUAACUACGUGCCAGCAGCCGCGGUAAUACGUAGGGGGCUAGCGUUAUCCGGAUUUACUGGGCGUAAAGGGUGCGUAGGCGGUCUUUCAAGUCAGGAGUGA